AAUGACUGGCUAUGAUGGAAACAGCCACCAUGUUGUGAAGACACUCAAUUAGACUUGUGGAGAGACUCACAUGGGCGAGAAACUAAGGGCUCCCACCAACAGCCCACAUCCACUUGCCAGCUCUGAAAGCAAAUAGAUCCUGCAGGCCUAGUCGAGCCUCAUUUGACUGACGCCUCAGUCAACAUCUUGACUGCAAGCCCAUGCAAAACACUGAGGCAGAAACCACCCACCCAAGAAGCUGCGAAUUCCUGACUGGCAAAAAAUGCGGAGCAGAAAACCAGGAAGUGGAUGGACUCCAUCUCCGCAGCCACGCCUGCCCGUUUGCGCUUACUGAAGGGAGGUCCUCAGGAACGUGAGCCCCUCUUUUUGGGCCUGUGAUUCCUCACCUGGAAGGGAGAAGAGUGGACUUCCUGCCUAGAGAACACCUUGGUAAACUCUUUGUGGUUCCUGUCAUGAGAAUGUGUGCAGCUUAGGGAAAAAGCCUGUGAGCUCUGGAAUCAGAUGGAACUGGAUAUAAAUUUCAAUUUAGUGCUUGUUGGAUUAAAUGUGAUGCUACUUCUCCCAGCUGAAAGAAUAAAACUGGUAAGAGGAAGGGAAAUGCAGCCUCAGUGAGGAGGCCUCCAUUCUGGAAGGGCUUCCCAGGCCCAGAGAAGGGAGAAAGUAAUUUGGAACCACCCAAGUAUUGGUGAUGCCAGGCCUCACCCUACCCUGGGGAUAUUUGAAUCUCAAAAAGGGAGCAUGGGGAUCUGACAAAGCACUUGCAUAUAUAAAGAACUCCUCCAAAUCAACAAGGCAAAAACCUCAUUAGAUACAUAGGCAAAAACCUUAGAAGAACCAUGUCACAAAGGAGGACCUCCAAAUGGCCAAGAAGCACAUGAAAAGAUGUUCAAUCUCAUUAGGUACCAGGGAAUUCAAAUUAGAACUACACCGGGAUGGCUGAAAGUGCAAAGACUGACAAUAUCAAGGGCUGGUGAGGAUGCAGAGCAACUGGAACUCUCCUAUGCGCUGGCGAAGGGGUAAAUUAAUACCGCCCCUUUGGAAGAACAGUUCAGAAGCAUCACUAAAGCUGAACAUGUUCAUGCCUACUCCUGAAAUCCUGAGCCCAGUGGCUCCCUUUGAAGAACUGCCUUGGGGUUUAUGUUCUAGCAUCAAACAGGGAUGGAAGAUGCAUCUUGCUUUAGCAGCAGGAGCCUGGAAAGCAGCUGAAGCCCUGGAGGGUGCCUGGCACACAGAAUCUUGUGCUGAGCCUGGAGCACAAUGGGAGUGGGCUGGCAAGGUGGGUUCACAGCUGGACUGGGAGCAGCAGACAUACAGGCCGUAGGCACAGUCAUAAAAAGACAGUCAUGCAGAUUAUAGGAUGCCUGCGAGCACAGACUCUCACAUGCACAAAUAUGUGCAUGAUCACCAAUGUGCAUCCAGACAGCCCCGCAUGCGUGCACAUGCAUGCACACAUGUGAUGUGUACGUAGAUGGACACAUGUCUAUGCCCACAAACACCGCAGAGACACACACAAAAGUGUCUGGCAAGGAACACUGUUUUGUCCUCAAUUUUCUGCCAGCGAGAGUCUACUGACUCCAUCUCUGAAACGUCUCUACUUAUUGUCCCUCUUCUCCACCUGUGCCACAUCCCUAGUCCCUGAAACUCCCACCGAGACCCCUGGGCAAUAGCACAGUCAGGACAGGAUUCCUGCUCCGCCUCAACCCCACCCUUAAGCCCAUCCUACAUGCAAGAGCAGGAGUUAUCUGGGUAUCAAGCAAAUCUGACCACAUCACCUUCCCACUGCUUAAAACCCUUUCCUACAGGAUGAAGUUUAAAUCACUUGACAUCCCAUAUAAGGCCCUUGACUGUCUGGCAUCAGCCAUAGUCUGGCCUCAGGCCCUGGCAUGGAGUCCCCUGGACUCAGUGCUCCAGCUGAGGGCCUCCAGGAUGAAGAUGCCCUGUGCAAAGCCUCACACUUUUGCUGUUGCUGGGCUCACUGUGUGAAAUUCCCUCCUCCCUCCUUCCACCUUCCCUAUGCUGAACUGCCACUCCUCCAUCCUCCAUGGCCAACUAAGCCAACAUCUCCUCACUUCCUCCUGACAACCCAGGCACAGCCACUGACCUGUCCUAUGGCUGUCACAACCCUUUCUUGGGCUCUCAGUGGUAUCAUUGUCACCUGUGUGCUCAUGAGCCUCCACCACUCAACUCCAAGCACAUCAAAUAGACAGCUCAAAACAU